UACAGAGGGGGCAAGCGUUAUUCGGAAUUAUUGGGCGUAAAGGGCGCGUAGGCGGCCUGGCAAGUGGAAGGUGAAAUCCCUCGGCUUAACCGAGGAACUGCCUUCCAAACUGCUUGGCUUGAGUCCGGGAGAGGUGAGUGGAAUUCCCAGUGUAGCGGUGAAAUUCGUAGAUAUUCGCAAGAACACCAGUGGCUAAGGCGGCUCACUGGCCCGAUACUGACGCUGAGGCACGAAAGCGUGGGGAGCAAACAGG
rnacentral:rRNA from 1 species